CAACAAGGGCCCGUGUGUGGCUGUGCUGUGAGCCCUGCUUUAAUUGGGAAGGAUUCACAGUUGGGUCACAUCAACAGCACCAGUUUACCUGCCCCUUUCAGCCUUCUCUGCUCUUUCUCCUCCUUGGUGUUCCAGGAACUUGGAUUCAUUAGGAAUCCUUUCACCAGAAAUCCUGGAGACUAUUUCCUGCAGGCCUUGGUGCUGUCUUCCAGUGUAAACAGAGGAGUUGUGAGACCUGAAGAGGACAAAUGCUAUGUGUGGGUUGGAAACAGAACUGCAUGUUUCAGCAAGGGCAGGAAAAAAUAUCCAGAGGAAAGUCUUCAACAAAGAGCUUCCAGAAGGGCUGGAGUUUGUAAGUAGCUCUUGAUCCACAUCAUACAUUCUGUCUUGGACUUUUCCAAUAGUAAUGUUACUGCUGCUGAAGGAGCCUUUUGAUGGUUAAAACUCAGAGACAGCCUGGCCUGGCAUCAUUCACCUUUUAGUUCUUUUCCAGUUUUCUGGC
rnacentral:lncRNA from 1 species